ensembl:lncRNA
ACACACACACACACACACACACACACACACACACACACACACACACACACAAAUCACACAAAUCACACACAAAUCACAACAAACAUCACUUGAAAAAUUAAAACAAAUCAAACGCAAAACUAUUCUCAAACGUUAUAGCUCUUGCUACUGAUGUUUAACUAAAUGACCCUAGUAAGAUUCCCCUGGAAAAAAUGACCUUGAUGUUGUGCGGUAGUCUAAAAGUCAGUCAAAUUCUCGAAAGCAAUCGAGAAUUUGGCUUUUAAUUAGGCGUUUAAUAGUCAUGUGAUCAGUUCCACAAUCGUUGUAUGAUAAUACAAAUUUCCACAAAGACAAUUAUACACAGAGCUCAAAGCUUUGGGGGCAACUCAUAACUUCAUGACAUAUUAGCCUACAUUUUAAUAAUGCGUAGAACACCAUGGGCUACGCAGAAGUGCUGUGGUUACCACCUGCAUGGCUGCACGUCGUUUUGAAUGGAUAUUUAGUUGCGAUACAAAAGUUAGAAUAUAAAAGUAUCCUGUGAGUAUCCACAACAGUUCCCGGCAUGAUAUUGCACAGUUUCACUGAUGAAGAAACAACGCGCGCACCUGUUUCUGAGGGACGCAUUCCCACAGCGCGGGAACAUCUAGGCUGACCGCAACUCGGUCAAAUCAAAUAUCACACUUCAUAUGGCAGUCACUUACCUUCCGUUGGCUAUUUUGGUAUAUGCGGUGGGUUUUGGCGAUGGUACACUCAAUAAAAAAAAAAAAUUCACUGACUUUCGAACCUAGCCUGGUUGUGCUGCGCGCAUGGUGUGUCCCGCCGUGUCACGAGCUCGUUACAUGGCAUACUCUUUGAUGCACUGCCGCUCCACGCUCGUCUGAUAUCUCCGUCUAAACAUCUCGGGGAAUACAAUCUGACACACUGUGACACCGAUGUACUUUUAGUAAGCUAUAUAAGGAUUUAACCCAAUUGGACAUAACGGAACUUACAGUUAGUUGGAGAUAACGCACAUGUAUGCAGCACCGAUCCCGGGACCAGAGACGUGGGCCAUGCAUCCCAAAGGUCCUGGUGGACAGAGUCAACCGGUAAACAGUUUCCCCAGUCGUCUCCAGGCAGACAGCACGGGCAGACCCCCCCCAGCUGUGGCUUCCAGACUGCCGCCGUUGCCAAAAACAACGCCUUGGGUUCCAAGCAGGGUUCAAAAAGGCGCUUUUGAUAGCGGAUGAAAAAUGCUGUGAUUUAAUCAGAGACCCCUUCCUGACAUGGAAAAAUGUUUUUGCUGUGCUGGGAGCACUAAAGUAUAUAGUUAAUCUCCAUGAUUCAGACAUCAGAUGGCCAUAUAAAGGCAGGGUGCGCGUGUGACGCAGGCUGUGUGGAUAUGAUUGGAUGUGGUAUUGACAUUGGGUUGUAAGUGAAGUGCAUUAGUUAGUGCCGUGGCGAGGUGACAGCACAUUAACUGCACCAGUACUGAUCCAAAUCCCCCAGAGUCACUCUCACUCCUCUACAAGUACUAUCAAGCAUUAUCAAGCAUUAACAAGCAUUCAGAACGAUAUGUUCAAUAACUGCUGUUCAAAAACAUUGGUAACAACAAUAAUCUGUAUGAGAAUCUGUAUGAAUAUGAAUAUUUAUCAAUAUGAUAUUAUUUAACACCUCACUAAUAUGGUAUCAACUGUAGAGAUAUGCAUCUGGAACUGAAUUGUUGAAGUAAAGAUUAACUCAUUGUCAUGGUCAUUUGAUUCUGCAAUGCAAACAGCUAAC